rnacentral:rRNA from 1 species
UACGAGGGGGGACUAGCGUUGUCCGGAUUUACUGGGCGUAAAGGGCGCGUAGGCGGCGCAACAAGUCACUUGUGAAAUCUCCGGGCUUAACCCGGAGCGGUCAAGUGAUACUGUCGUGCUAGAGUGCGGAAGGGGCUACUGGAAUUCUCGGUGUAGCGGUGAAAUGCGUAGAUAUUGGGAGGAACACCAGUGGCGAAGGCGGCUCACUGGACCGGUACUGACGCUGAUGCGCGAAAGCGUGGGGAGCAAACGGG